CAGGGAACACCUGGUCCCAAGGGAGAGCCAGGAGAAAAGGGCUUACCGGGGGACGGAAUACAUCAGAUCAGAGAGGCGCUGAAGAUCUUAGCCGAGAGGGUUUUAAUCCUUGAGACUAUGAUCGGUAUUCAUGGUGAGUAGGAGGCCUGAGGCAGGGUCAGCUUUAGGCAAGGGUCAAACUCCCACCAUACUGUACCUCACUGCUGGGACAGGGAGUGGGAACAGUUGUGAGCAGCCCCAGGACUCAAGCUGGUGUUUCCAUCCCCUCACACACUCCCCCUGUCACUGCUCUCUGAUAGGACGUUAGCUUGCAGAUGUUCCAAGACUUACAGGCAGACCUUGAGCUUCUGGCUCGCAGGGUGACACUGCUGGAGGCUAUCAUCUGGCCAGAGCCUGAUGUAGGGUCUGGGGAUGGACCAUUUGGCACAGCCUCCCCUAGUUUCUACAGAGAUAAGCGAGCAGGUGCUCUUCCAUA